CUACGGGAGGCAGCAGUAGGGAAUCUUCCGCAAUGGACGAAAGUCUGACGGAGCAACGCCGCGUGAGUGAUGAAGGUUUUCGGAUCGUAAAACUCUGUUGUUAGGGAAGAACAAGUUGGGUAGUAACUGACCCAACCUUGACGGUACCUAACCAGAAAGCCACGGCUAACUACGUGCCAGCAGCCGCGGUAAUACGUAGGUGGCAAGCGUUGUCCGGAAUUAUUGGGCGUAAAGCGCUCGCAGGCGGUCCUUUAAGUCUGAUGUGAAAUCUCGCGGCUCAACCGCGAACGGUCAUUGGAAACUGGAGGACUUGAGUACAGAAGAGGAGAGUGGAAUUCCACGUGUAGCGGUGAAAUGCGUAGAGAUGUGGAGGAACACCAGUGGCGAAGGCGACUCUCUGGUCUGUAACUGACGCUGAGGAGCGAAAGCGUGGGGAGCGAACAGGAUUAGAUACCCUGGUAGUCCACGCCGUAAACGAUGAGUGCUAGGUGUUAGGGGGUUUCCGCCCCUUAGUGCUGAAGUUAACGCAUUAAGCACUCCGCCUGGGGA
rnacentral:rRNA from 1 species